UACGUAGGUGACAAGCGUUGUCCGGAUUUACUGGGCGUAAAGAGCGCGCAGGCGGUCGUUCAAGUCGAGUGUGAAAGCCCCCGGCUCAACUGGGGAGGGUCAUUCGAUACUGAUCGACUCGAAGGCAGGAGAGGGAAGUGGAAUUCCCGGUGUAGUGGUGAAAUGCGUAGAUAUCGGGAGGAACACCAGUGGCGAAGGCGACUUCCUGGCCUGUUCUUGACGGUGAGGCGCGAAAGCUAGGGGAGCAAACGGG
rnacentral:rRNA from 1 species